rnacentral:precursor_RNA from 15 species
GAUGAAAAGGUCCUUCGGUUUCAGUUUAUGGGAUACACACAGUUCAGUUUUGUCACACUUCAAGCAUCACUGGGCUUUGUUUAUCUCAUGAGAGCGAAAUUUAUUCAACAGGAAACCU